UACUGAAGGGCGGUAUGGAUAUAACUGCCUAGACACGUGUGACGUCAACUGUGGAGACCGGGCAAGAUGUGACAGGAAAACAGGGCAAUGUCAAAAUGGGUGUCAGGCAGGGUGGAAGGAUAUAAAAUGUGACAAGAAAUGCGACGGAGGUACAUUUGGACUAAACUGUGCUCAGUCAUGCGGAUCUUGUCUUAAUAAAGAACAAUGUCAUCACAUAAACGGGUCAUGCUUGAAUGGCUGCGAUAAAGGUUACCAUGGAGACACUUGUACACAAGAAUGCCCGGAUGGACUCUAUGGAUACAACUGUGAGGGAAAUUGUAGCAGUUGCCAAUUUCUAGAAACAUGUGACGCAAUAUCCGGGCAAUGCAAUGAUCACCAGAUUCUAUUACAUGGAAGCAAUCCAAAGUCUUUCUGUUUGGAGUGAUAGCGUCUUUUUCCAUAAGUUUUGGCUUAAACCUCGCUUUAGUACUCUGGAAGUGUACUAGAAAUGGGUGCAAAAGAAAGAAGAACCAAAAUAAUUUCACAAUACAAUUGCCAACAAAUCCUCCAACACCUGAUCCAAAGAUCAUUGAUGAUGCUGAAGAUAGUGAAGUUUACGAAGAUCUAGAUCAACAAUCAAUUUAUGACGAUGCUCUUUAGCGUGAAAUGAUAGUGUAUGAGUUUGUACAUUAACAUGAAAUUUUAUGUGCUUACAUUUGAAUGUAUGUGAGUUUUCUUUUAAAAAAUAUAUAAAAUAUUACCAAUCAGCUAAU